rnacentral:rRNA from 1 species
GGCCUGCGGAGGGAUCAUUACCGAGUUUACAACUCCCAAACCCCUGUGAACAUACCUAUACGUUGCCUCGGCGGAUCAGCCCGCGCCCCGUAAAAAGGGACGGCCCGCCCGAGGACCCCUAAACUCUGUUUUUAGUGGAACUUCUGAGUAAAACAAACAAAUAAAUCAAAACUUUCAACAACGGAUCUCUUGGUUCUGGCAUCGAUGAAGAACGCAGCAAAAUGCGAUAAGUAAUGUGAAUUGCAGAAUUCAGUGAAUCAUCGAAUCUUUGAACGCACAUUGCGCCCGCCAGUAUUCUGGCGGGCAUGCCUGUUCGAGCGUCAUUUCAACCCUCAAGCUCAGCUUGGUGUUGGGACUCGCGGUAACCCGCGUUCCCCAAAUCGAUUGGCGGUCACGUCGAGCUUCCAUAGCGUAGUAAUCAUACACCUCGUUACUGGUAAUCGUCGCGGCCACGCCGUAAAACCCCAACUUCUGAAUGUUGACCUCGGAUCAGGUAGGAAUACCCGCUGAACUUAAGCAUAUCAAA